AUUGAACGCUGGCGGCAGGCCUAACACAUGCAAGUCGAACGGUAACAGGAAGCAGCUUGCUGCUUUGCUGACGAGUGGCGGACGGGUGAGUAAUGUCUGGGAAACUGCCCGAUGGAGGGGGAUAACUACUGGAAACGGUAGCUAAUACCGCAUAACGUCGCAAGACCAAAGAGGGGGACCUUAGGGCCUCUUGCCAUCGGAUGUGCCCAGAUGGGAUUAGCUAGUAGGUGGGGUAACGGCUCACCUAGGCGACGAUCCCUAGCUGGUCUGAGAGGAUGACCAGCCACACGGGAGCUGAGACACGGUCCAGACUCCUACGGGAGGCAGCAGUGGGGAAUAUUGCACAAUGGGCGCAAGCCUGAUGCAGCCAUGCCGCGUGUAUGAAGAAGGCCUUCGGGUUGUAAAGUACUUUCAGCGGGGAGGAAGGGAGUAAAGUUAAUACCUUUGCUCAUUGACGUUACCCGCAGAAGAAGCACCGGCUAACUCCGUG
rnacentral:rRNA from 1 species